rnacentral:tRNA from 1 species
GUGGAUGUAGCCAAGUGGAUCAAGGCAAUGGAUUGUGAAUCCACCACACGCGGGUUCAAUCCUCGUCGUUCGCC